UGGUAAAAGUCAAAAUUUCCUAAAAAUAAUCUACUAUAUCUAUAACUCUUAAAAGCCAAAUUGGUGAAAAAAUGGGUAUCUUCUUAUGAACAGUGUACUGACUAUUCUACCCCUAAAAAACUAAAAAAAAUUUAUUGACGUCUUUACCCUUUUACUUACUAAGGCAGGCUACUUUGGUUUUCUUUGGAUCAGAUCAGUCCUUUUCUCUACUUAGUUGCUUUCUCUCUCCUCUCCUUUCUCCAUGUUCUCUGAUCCUCCAUGGAAAUAGCAUUUGAGGUUAAAUUAUUUUCUUUUUAUUAUUAAAUUAUCGAAUAUGAGACUUUCUUACUCCAUAUUUUUUUCUCCAUUGAAGCAACUUCCGAGCUUUUUCCGUUCCUCCAUUAAAGCAAAUUAUGAGGUUUCCCAUUUAUUGAAGCAGCUUAAAAGGGUUCAAUUUGAUCAAAAAUUAAUGUCGGGACCUCCUGAUCAAUUUACUCACUUGCAUUCUGGGUAUAUCAAAUUCUGGUAUUAAGUUUCAGGAAUUAUGGCUCGAGUAUAAGUCAGUAAUCUAGAUCUUCAAGUCACUGGACGCAAGCUUGAGUUAAUGGUGUCCUUGGCAGAAACGUAAUGCAGGUCAACUUUUGCGUGGAGAUGUCUUAAACACUUAUUUAAAGAAUGCAGUUGCUGAGAAGAUGACUUUUUUCUGUCAGAGCAAGGGUUCAGAGAUGGAGCCCACUAUUUCUGCUAAUGAGACUCUCUUUGUUCGGAAGCUCCCUUAUCUGAAUGCAAGGCUGAAAGAGGAGGAGAUCUAGAAGAAUAUUGAGGCUCGUGAGUUUAUUCAAAGUCAGAGGAGACUAAACGCUUCUUCCAGCUUCUCUUCGCGUAGUUGGGCUGCAUCUGUUUUUCAAUAUUGGAAUAGGUAAAUGGUCUCUCCUAAUCCUAAGAGGAGACUAAACGCUUCUUCCAGUUUCUCUUCGCGUAGUUGGACUGCAUCUGUUUUUCAAUAUUGGAAUAGGAUAUGAAACUUUGUUGCUUUUGAGGUUGCUGUUGGAAAUCAAAAUUCCUUCCCUUCGUAAAUAUUCAGUGAGUACCAAGGAUGCAUAUUAUUCCAGCAAUAUCUUCAUAUCAUUUAUAUAACCUCAAGCCAUUGAAUGAUAUUUGCCUUUAAUUUGGAUGAAAGUAUGAAAUUGUACCUUUUUCUUGAAAUUAUAUGACACUAAUUUGAUGAUUGAAUCAACUUUAGUUGCUAAUGUGUUGCAGAAUUCUUUAGUGUUGGGAUGAAAUUAUGAAAUUUCCUUGUAUUUAUGACCCUAAUUUGAUGAUUGACUUGACUGUAAUUUGGUUGCUAAUGUGUUGCAGAACUCUUUAAUCUUGGGAUUAAACUAUGAAAUUUCCCUAAAUUUUUUACCCUAAUUUGAUGACUACAUUGACUUUAAAUUGGUUGCUAAUGUGCUUCAAAACUCUUCGAUGUUGGGAUGGAACUAUGAAAUUGCCCUAAAAUUGUGACCUUCAUUUGAUAAUUGAACUAAAUUUGGUUGUUAAUGUGUUGCAUAUCUCUUUUAGUGUUAAUAUUGAACUCCAUGAAUUUAAUUGGUCUUGAAUAUACUUACAAAGGAAAAUUACAAACAAACUUUAUUAUAUUGUAUGAAAAUUCUUUUACUAUUUGUUUACCUUUUUAAUUGUUGUAAAUUUUUUUAAAAAAGAGAUCGCUUAUUUUAGAUUUCAUAACUUCAUAUGCUGUUAAUUAAUGUUUGAAUUCAUGCAGAAUGUUCCGUUAGAUUUUGCUAAAGCACACUUUGGUUUGUUUCCAAAAUUAACCAAUGUUGUUGUGCAUUUUUAUGAUACUCGAUUUGAUGCUCAAUUGAAAAAUAAGAUACGCGAUGACAAACUUAUCCAAUGUUUUAUCAACAAUCUUAAUGUAUUUGUGCUAUUGGAAGAAUAAGCCCAAAAUAUUUGGUAAAGUGAAAUACAUAUGAUAUAUAAAAUUCUCAGCUUUGUAUAUGAGAAAUAAGUUUUUAAGAAUAUUGAUUUGUAAAAAAUUCGUACAAAUGAUUUAAAUUUUAUUUCGCACAUAAUUGUGUAGUUAAUAUAUAAUCCAAAAAAUAGAACUCCUUCAUUUAAUGGACAACAAUAUUAAAUUUGGGCCUGCCACAUUUUGCAUUGGUUAUACUUACAUUUAAAAUGUUUUUCAAUAGGAAAUUAACACAUUCACUAAAUUAAAGGAUUGUUCUAUAAUGUCAAAACAUUAAACUUGUAGAUUCAUAAUUGAUUUAUUUAUCCCGAUAAACAAAAUACUGCGCGCGCAUCGCGCGCGUGCUCCACAACUAGUAAAGAGAAAGGGCAUUUUGGUUGAUAAAUUUGACUUUUCCCAUAAUGCCCUUCUCUUUUUGCACAAUUACAUCUAAUAACAACAAUUCAAAAAAAAAUUAAUAACUUCCCUAACGUGGUACUAAUUAAAAAAAUAACUUUUCUUGGGUGGUUAACUUAGGCCUAUUUUUUUGAUAUUCACUUGCACUUACAAGCUUCUCGUUUGUUGUUUAGUACUAAUUCAUUUGCAUACAUAUAUAUCUUUCCCUAAUUUAAAAAUAAAAAAAA